GACGAACGCUGGCGGCGUGCCUAAUACAUGCAAGUAGAACGCACAGUUUAUACCGUAGCUUGCUACACCAUAAACUGUGAGUUGCGAACGGGUGAGUAACGCGUAGGUAACCUGCCUGGUAGCGGGGGAUAACUAUUGGAAACGAUAGCUAAUACCGCAUAAUAUUGAUUAUUGCAUGAUAAUUGAUUGAAAGAUGCUAUUGCAUCACUACCAGAUGGACCUGCGUUGUAUUAGCUAGUAGGUGAGGUAACGGCUCACCUAGGCGACGAUACAUAGCCGACCUGAGAGGGUGAUCGGCCACACUGGGACUGAGACACGGCCCAGACUCCUACGGGAGGCAGCAGUAGGGAAUCUUCGGCAAUGGACGAAAGUCUGACCGAGCAACGCCGCGUGAGGGAAGAAGGUUUUCGGAUCGUAAAGCUCUGUUGUAAGAGAAGAACGGGUGUGAGAGUGGAAAGUUCACACUGUGACGGUAUCUUACCAGAAAGGGACGGCUAACUACGUG
rnacentral:rRNA from 1 species